GAAAGAGAGAGAAGGAGAGGGAGAGAGAGGGAGGAGGAGGGAGGAGGCGGGAGCUCGAACCGACCAACCAGAGAGAGAGAGCUCUUGAUCACCCAGUGCAGUCCUCUCUCUCUUCAGUUAGAUGAAGGAUCUGAUCUGAUCUGGUUUCUGGUGGGAACCCAGUGAGGGAUCAUCACCCCUGUCCACAGACUGUGGAAGAGGUCUUCAGGUCCUGAACCAGCAUCCUCUGCUGGUCUCUCCAGAUCCAGACACAGAUACCAGACCAUGGUGCAGGUCCCUGUUCCUCUGUCCCACAGUCAGCAGGAUCAGAUCCAGAUUCAGGUGGAUCAGAACCAACAAAACAAAAAUUCACUGCAGCAGAAAAAUGGUGUUAAAAUUAUCCUGAAAACUACAGAGACCAGGGUCCAGAGUCCUGUAGAGUCGGGAGUCCUGCAGAGUCUGGACUCAACACAGUGAAAACUUUGUUAUUCUGAAAUUUGCUGUUUGAGAUUAUUUGAAUCCAGAUCCACUGAGUCCUCCCUCUGGACUCAGGGCCUGCAGUGAUUGGACAAAACAGACUAAUGACAUCUUAUUAAAGUUUUUGGAAGUGGUUUAUGUCUGUGUCCAGAUCCGAGGCAGGACCUGGGUCUACCACUGAUCUCAGACCAGUGAUAAAUCAGAGCCAUACCUGAGCCAGACUUGAGCCAGGGGUAAAGCACAGCCAGACCUGAGCCAGACUUGUGCCAGAUCGGUCAUGUUCCUGCUGCCGAUCGUCAUCUCUCAGACAGGAAGUGAGACAGGCUUUUCAGAUUAACAGCGCUCCAGUCUUCUGGGGACGAGGCCUCGGAGGCUCCAAGGGGAGGACCGAGUCUGGACUGAAAAACAAUGAGAGGAGGAAGAAAAAGAGAGAAGAGAGGAUUCAGCAGAAUAAAAACUGAGAGAACACGAAGGAGGAGAAAAGAGGAGGACGAUUUAAACUGAGCAAAGGAUGAAGAGAGAAAAGAGGAGAGGAGGAGGAGAUGGAUGACAAAGUGAAGAAAAUGGAAGAAAAAUUAGGAAGAAAAAGAGAAAGAGAAGAAAUGGAGGAUGUUCUUUUCCCAACCAAAUUCAACCUGAGAAGAAAACAAAGAGGAAAAGAAAAGAAACAGGAGAAGAAGAAAAACAGGAACAAAUAAAAAGCGAUGGAGAAGAAGUGAAGAAGGAGGAGCAGCGUCUGGUGCUAAGAGACCCGGAGACAAGAAGAAGAAAAAACAGACAAGGAACCAGAAAAAUGAAAAUAAAAUGAGAGGAAACAAAGCGCUCGACCUUCAGCGGCAAACAGAAAAACUGUGUGUGUGUGUGUGUGUGUGUUGCUGAGGGAUUUCCAGUCGUCCCAGUUCAGGGAAUUCCCUCCAUCCCAGCAGAGAGGAGGCGAGCGAGGGAAGAGCGACACCAAGAGGAAACAGAGAGAGAGAAAGAUUUUACACCCCUUUGUUUUUACAUGAAGAAAUAAAAGUUUAAAUGUUUCUUUUUCCUUCGUCUCAUGAACCUGAUUCAGAAUCAGGAUCAGCUCUGAUCUGGUCUAAGGUCUGAUCUGGUCUCAGGUCAGUUGUAGAUCACAUCAUCAGGAUCAGUUUUAUUUCUUCUCUUUGAGGUUGUUUCAGAGCAGAGACCAGGACCAGGGCCGCUCUGAUGCUAACUGUGUUAAAGAAAAUAAAUUAUGUAUUUGUUAUUCAGUGAUUUUAUUUCUGACAAUAAUAAAAAUCCAGAGAGUCUGUG